rnacentral:rRNA from 1 species
AGUGAACGCUGGCGGUAGGCCUAACACAUGCCAGUCGAACGGCAGCACAGUAAGAGCUUGCUCUUACGGGUGGCGAGUGGCGGACGGGUGAGGAAUACAUCGGAAUCUACUUUUUCGUGGGGGAUAACGUAGGGAAACUUACGCUAAUACCGCAUACGACCUACGGGUGAAAGCAGGGGAUCUUCGGACCUUGCGCGAUUGAAUGAGCCGAUGUCGGAUUAGCUAGUUGGCGGGGUAAAGGCCCACCAAGGCGACGAUCCGUAGCUGGUCUGAGAGGAUGAUCAGCCACACUGGAAGUGAGACACGGUCCAGGCUCCUACGGGAGGCAGCAGUGGGGAAUAUUGGACAAUGGGCGCAAGCCUGAUCCAGCCAUACCGCGUGGGUGAAGAAGGCCUUCGGGUUGUAAAGCCCUUUUGUUGGGAAAGAAAAGCAGCAGGUUAAUACCCCGCUGUUCUGACGGUACCCAAAGAAUAAGCACCGGCUAACUUCGUG